rnacentral:rRNA from 1 species
CUCUCUGUCGGCCUUCUGAAAGGAAGAUUAAUCCAGGAUGGCAUCAUGAGUUCACAUGUCCGCAUGAUUAAAGGUAUUUUCCGGUAGACGAUGGGGAUGCGUUCCAUUAGAUAGUAGGCGGGGUAACGGCCCACCUAGUCAACGAUGGAUAGGGGUUCUGAGAGGAAGGUCCCCCACAUUGGAACUGAGACACGGUCCAA